GUAAUUCCAAUGUGCAGCAAGGUCUGGGAACCACUGUUCUAUGCCUUGCCCCUCCCCCAACGACCGCGCUGGGCACCAAACCCCAACUCCCCAAGCCAAUGACAUCAACAGCAAGUACGGGCCUGGCUCUUGGAACCCGCGCAGCUCAAGGUUGGAAUUGUGCAAUUAAACCUUCCAAGGCAUGUUUCCCCUGUCAAGUGGGUUUAUGGUCGGUAGUCACGAAGCCAGACUCGCUCAUGUUCUGUCUGCACACUUGGCACACUUGAACCAGGGACAGCAAUCCGGUGUGUGUGUGUGUGUGUGUGUGUGUGUGUGUGUAAGACAGGUUUAAUAUUUUGGUUGGCUCAAAUUCUUCAAACAGCAAAAAGAGACAUCCAAGAAAGAAAGUCUCCGGGUUUUGAGGAGAAGUUUGCUGUGAGCCCCAUUUUGAAACACCAUGGUGUUGGCCAGGAUGAGCUCUGCUUCCGGGGCUUCCGCUCAAGAGUCCCGCGAUCCCCCCCUGCAGUGGCCGGACAGCCGCGUCCCGCUCCACCGCGAAGCCCAGGCGCGACCGAAGGGCUGCAGGUGGAGCAGACCCGGACGUCUCCGCGAGGCGGCCAUCGAAGGAGAGCCUGGGGCUUUCGGCGCGGGCGCCCAGGAGGGAGCUGGGGGAAGAAAGUUGGGAGCGGUUCGGGGCGCCGGAGGUCCCGGCGGCCGUUCCCCGCCUGGCCUGCAGCCCGGUGUCCCACGCGUCUCCUCCUCCGCCCGCCCCAGACUCUCCCGGCCGAAGAACGAAACGUCCCGUUCCUCCCGCGGUCCCGGUCGGCGGCGCAGCUGAUCUCAAGGAAACAGGAAAGGACGGGCGGGGGCGCGGGCGCCGAGCCGGUGCGCCGGUGCGCGGUUGGGCGGGCUGCGGGGUCCGGGGCGCGAUCCGGGGGCGGCGCGGGAGCCGGCGAGACACGCCCUUACCUUUCUUUUCCUCCAGAGCCCGACUCGCCGGGCAGAGCGCAGCCAGCAGCGCCAGGAGCGCUGCCCCGGC
rnacentral:lncRNA from 10 species